rnacentral:piRNA from 1 species
UAAUGUUUUUGUUCAUUAGAAUCUGUAGUG